rnacentral:rRNA from 1 species
UACGAAGGGAGCUAGCGUUGCUCGGAAUCGCUGGGCGUAAAGCGCACGUAGGCGGACUCUUAAGUCGGUGGUGAAAUCCUGGAGCUCAACUCCAGAACUGCCUUCGAUACUGAGAGUCUUGAGUCCGGGAGAGGUGAGUGGAACUGCGAGUGUAGAGGUGAAAUUCGUAGAUAUUCGCAAGAACACCAGUGGCGAAGGCGGCUCACUGGCCCGGUACUGACGCUGAGGUGCGAAAGCGUGGGGAGCAAACAGG